GCUGCGGUGGUGUAAUGGUUAGCAUAUCUGUUUAGUGUGCAAGACGACCCGGGUUCGAUUCCCGGCCGCAACA